UACGGGAGGCAGCAGUGGGGAAUAUUGCACAAUGGGCGCAAGCCUGAUGCAGCCAUGCCGCGUGUAUGAAGAAGGCCUUCGGGUUGUAAAGUACUUUCAGUCGUGAGGAAGGUGUUAAGGUUAAUAACCUUAGCAAUUGACGUUAGCGACAGAAGAAGCACCGGCUAACUCCGUGCCAGCAGCCGCGGUAAUACGGAGGGUGCGAGCGUUAAUCGGAAUUACUGGGCGUAAAGGGCACGCAGGCGGUUAAUUAAGUUGGAUGUGAAAUCCCCGGGCUUAACCUGGGAAUGGCAUUCAAGACUGGUUAGCUAGAGUCUUGUAGAGGGGGUUAGAAUUCCAUGUGUAGCGGUGAAAUGCGUAGAGAUGUGGAGGAAUACCGGUGGCGAAGGCGGCCCCUGGACAAAGACUGACGCUCAUGUGCGAAAGCGUGGGGAGCAAACAGGGAUUUAGAUACC
rnacentral:rRNA from 1 species